rnacentral:rRNA from 1 species
UACGUAGGGCGCAAGCGUUGUCCGGAAUUAUUGGGCGUAAAGAGCUCGUAGGCGGUCUGUCGCGUCGGAUGUGAAAGCCCGGGGCUUAACCCCGGGUCUGCAUUCGAUACGGGCAGACUAGAGUGUGGUAGGGGAGAUCGGAAUUCCUGGUGUAGCGGUGAAAUGCGCAGAUAUCAGGAAGAACACCGACGGCGAAGGCAGCUCGCUGGGACGGUACUGACGCUGAGACGCGAAAGCGUGGGGAGCGAACAGG